CUAACUAGGUACAUUGAGCUAAACUAGAGGCUAGGGAGGGGUGGGGAGAGGUGCAGCCUGAAGAGAUGAGUCUUUAGUCUGCGCUUGAAGGUAAUCAGAUUCUCUGCUGUUCUGACCGCCACGGGAAGGUCAUUCCACCAGCGAGGGGCCAGGACAGACAGCAGACGCGAACGGGAAGUACAGACACGAAGAGGGGGAGGUGCCAAGCGUCCAGAGGUGGCAGAACGGAGAGGUCUGGCUGGUGUGUAGGGUCUGAUGAUCCUCUGGAUGUAUCCUGGUGCUGACCCCUUAGCUGCCUGGUAUGCAAGCACCGAAGUCUUAAAUUUGAUGCGAGCCAUAAGAGGCAGCCAGUGGAGGUGGUGCAGCUUGAGUGACGUAUUUCAGGAUAAACACUCAGAAUGACCCUUGCUUUCUCUCCAACGAAAGAGCAAUCAGCUCCACCUGCAGGAUUAAGACAUGCACGCAGACUCACAGAGCAAGGGAACAUAACAGGACUGAAAAGGGAAGACAUU